CAAUAGCGUAUAUUAAAGCUGUUGCGGUUAAAAAGCUCGUAGUUGGAUUUCUGUCAAGGACAACUGGUCCGCCCUCCGGGUGAGCACAUAGUUUGGUCUUGGCAUCUUGCUGGAAACUGUUGCUGCGCUUGGUUGUGUGGUGCAGCUUUCAGCACUUUCACUUUGAGGAAAUUGGAGUGUUUCAAGCAGGCACAUGCCUUUGGACACAGUAGCAUGGAAUAAUUAGAUUGGGCUUUUGCUCCAACUUGUUGGUUCCUGGAGCUGAGGUGAGAAUCAAUGGGGAUUGUUGGGGGCAUCCGAAUUUAGCCGUCAGAGGUGAAAUUCUUGGAUCUGCUAAAGACGGACAACUGCGAAGGCGUUUGCCCAGGAUGUUUUCAUUG
rnacentral:rRNA from 1 species